GCCUCUUCGGAGGUACACGAGCGGCGGACGGCUGAGUAACNCGUAGGAACGUACCCCAAAGUGAGGGAUAAGCACCAGAAAUGGUGUCUAAUACCGCANGUGCUCUAAGGAGUAAAGCUUCGGCGCUUUGGGAACGGCCUGCGUCCGAUUAGCUAGUUGGUGAGGUAAUAGCUCACCAAGGCGACNAUCGNUAGCUGGUCUGAGAGGAUGAUCAGCCAGACUGGGACUGAGACACGGCCCAGACUCCUACGGGAGGCAGCANUAGGGAAUUUUCCACAAUGGGCGAAANGCCUGANUGGANGCAACGCCCCGNGNCANGGAUGAAUGCCUUNCGGGUUGUAAACNUGCUUUUAUNUGUGACGAACNUUACGGUNGCAUAUGAAUAAGGAUCGGCUAACUCCGUGCCAGCCGCG
rnacentral:rRNA from 1 species